UACGGCCCUGGGAACCCACAAGCAA
rnacentral:piRNA from 1 species